AACAAAUUUCGCAGAAAAAUUCUGAGAGUAACGGAUUUGUGAUGGAAAUUAUUCUGUCACAAAUUAAAGCCGGUGAGAAAAAAUGACAACUAUUUGUCACAAAUCCGUGACAAAAUUGUGACAGAUUGAACAUUCCGUCACAAAUAAAAUAAAAAGAUAAUUAAUAAUAAAUAUAUAAAUUUGUGACAGAAUUAUUUCCGUCACAACAACAAGAUUAGACUAACUUUUUAGUUUUGCCUCCAAAAUUUUUGACCACUUAUUUAGUUUCCCACCACACCCUAUUUCAUUUCAGCAAACCCUUCUAAGCUGUAGAGAGACCAUGGGCUUCACUCAUAGCACGAAAAUCUAGAGAGACCGUGGGCUCACUCUCGGUGAUUUCUUUCCGGCGUUGGAGCUGCUCGAAGGCAUUCACUCCAUUGUCAUCUUCACUAAGAGGCUGACAUGCUUUCUAUCAGUGAUAAUUGUGUGUAGGAUGAAAUGGAGGCUAGGGUGACUGCUGCUAUUUCAGUCUCAUCAGAUGAUUCACAAGAAGUCCACGAACUCGAUGUAAAUCGCAUAUACUUGGAUGUUGUAGGUGGAGAGAAAAAACGACUUGUGUAUGGAUUGGGCUCUCAAUCUUUGAGUUUAUAUCAAGACUGCAAUUCUGCUACUUCAUAGAACUUGUCUGCGGUGACUGAUCGUGCUGCUGGAGAACGCUUCAAACUUCUUGAGGAAGAGAUGUUGCGUAUGAGAGAAAAUCAAGAGAGAAUUCUUCAAGAGCGUAUAGAGGCGAAGGUUCAACGUCUUGACGCGGAGGUAAAACAACAUGUAGAGCAGGAGGUAUAGCGUUUGACACAAGAAAGUGAUGAUCGGUUUAAGUCUAUGGAGGAUUGAUGGUCUCGCAUGAUGAGUGAGAUGGCGCUAUAUUCUCGAUCAUCUGGUGAUCCUAUUCUUUCUAAAUAGGGACUCACCAAAUACUUAAGUGUUUAACAUUUUGAGACUUUAGUUACUCGGAAAUUCUUUUAACGUUGUCAAGACUUUUGUUAGUUGGAUGCUUUGCAAGUUUUAAUAUUUGUAGACUUUUGCUUAUUGAAGUUGUGUUUUUGCACGUUUUAACUU